rnacentral:lncRNA from 1 species
AGAGGUACUAACCAGCAAUUCCGAAAACCUUAGCGACAAAAGUGAGGCCGCCAAUGGCUCUGUUACCCUCAGCAAUCCGCUGAAGCAAGCUCUUGAUCUCCUGGGGUGAAUACAGGACGGGGUCUUGGCUGAUAUUCAGAUCUGACGGCUCUGAUCGAUCGAUUUUCAACACUCGGAAGAACCUCUUGCUCCGAUCACUUCCGAUCAGGUAAAACCUCUGCGAUUUCGAUUGCAAUUCCAAAAUAGGUUAAUUUAAUGGGUUGUGUAAAAGAUUAUUGCGUGACGAAUGAAUGGAUAAUUACCGCUCUGGUUUCGUAGAGUCUGAACUUCUCGAGGGCGUAAGAGUCCGGGUCCAAUUCGGGAUCGUUGGAAGGGUGAACCUUUGCAGAGGCAGUGACAGGGGUUGAUUUCGCCAUCUAGUCUCUUCUAUUCUCUAUCUAUUCCACUCCCAAUUUUCAUUCUCGCAACCUUGGCCGUGACUUGUAGCGCUGGUGGUGUCCUGGUUCGAGACGCCUAGGCUCGCUCAGGCGGUGUUUGACGGAGGAGGAAGAACGCUUCUCUCGCGCACAAGAGGAAAGAAAGGGGAGGUGGAGCGGUGGCCGGCGAUAGGUUUGGCGGUGAGUGGUGGAGCUGACGACGGCUGGGGGUGGCGACUCGCGACGGCCGUUUCGCGCAAAGAAGAGAGGACGAGAUGGUGGUCCGGCGUGAAGGGCGGCGGCUCUUCUGGCGAAGGUACUGGCGACGCCGCGAACAGCGGCUCGCGGUGGCUGCCGGAGGAGAGCGGUGGCUGCCGGAGGAGAGCGGCGGCACAAGGCGUUCCAGGGCGGCAAACCCAACCCUAGUAUAGAGGGAGAAGAAAGAGACCUUGAGUCUUUGAUUUUGUCUCCAGGCUGGGAGAGUUUGAAAUGAAUGGAAGGGGAGGAACCCCUGAUUUCUGAGCUAGGGUGGAUCCUGGGCCGGGUCUGGGUUAACAAAAAAAAUAAACAUAAAUGUUUUUUGGGAGUUACUCCCUGUACCUCCCCAAUUCCAACUCCCACCCCCCAAUUUUUUUGAAUUUUUUUUUAAAUACAAAAUUAAUCUUUAUGUUUUUUUUAUUUUUACCGUUUUACACCUAUUUACUAAAGUUAACCUACUCUUUUACAGUCUGCCUCAGUCAAAACACACAGACUCAAAUUCCUCUCCUUCGUAUUCCCACCCCCACCCCCA